CCUCCAUUCUUGGCAUGCACACAGUCUCCCUGUUCACCUGUACUGUAUGUUAUGGAGGGGUGACAGGUCCAGUGUCUUCGCUGCCAGAAUGUUCUCUGUCUUCUGGUUCUAUCCUCAGUGGCUGGUUCAUUG